AAUACACCCUGACGCGUGGUCAACUUUCUCUUCUCGAUCAAUGGAUCCGUGCUAGCAUCAAAUUUGAGUUAACCAUCAUCAAGAUCAGUCCAGGCGACGAAGAGGAGCUCGGCUUCGGAAGUUUGAUUUUAGUGCCAAACAACACACAGAACAAAUCGUUUGUAAUUGAUGUUUACGAUCGGAGUGGAAUUGUGCAAGCCGAGAUGACAUUGACAUUGCAUUUCUCAAGAGCAUUAAUUGAACAAUUGACCUGA
rnacentral:misc_RNA from 1 species